AUUGCUCCUAGAAGCAUUGCAGGUGUGGCUGCUGUGUCUCAUGUGCAUCAGUGAGUGGCAGAGAAGAGAGAGGUGAUGUCUAUGCUCAGGGGUCUGACCUGUGGACAUCUGAAUGAUUAGUAGCCUAACACC